ensembl:misc_RNA Metazoa_SRP Metazoan signal recognition particle RNA
GCCGGGCAUGGUGGCUCAUGCCUGUAAUCCCAGCACUUUGGGAGGCCGAGGUGGGUGGAUCACCUGAGGUCAGGAGUUCGAGACCAGCCUGGCCAACAUGGUGAAACCCCGUCUCUA